AGUACUUAUCUUCUAUUUUAUGUUAAGUUUCUUUUUCUUUAUCUUACUAUUGAAGAUUUUUUGUAAUGGGUUAAAUCUUACUUUGUGUUAAUUCUUACUUUAAUUCUACUUUUUUUGCAGGAAAUUGUUUCCAGUUUUAAGUGAAUCCAUCUGCUGCAGCUUGCAAUGAUUGCAGCCCGUCUACACACUCAUGGUGUUGACACUGUGUGGUUUGAGUAUAAAGGCUUGCCGCUAAAAUGGUAUGUUAUAGACGGUUUGGCUUGAACUAUAAUAUACAAAUAUCUAGAUUUUAUAAUACUGAAUUGCUUUGUAUAGUUCUUCUAAAUAGUAAUGUUGUUAAUCUUUUGCUACAAUCGAAAGUAUAUUACAUGAUUUAUCAAACAUUUUAUGGACACA